AUUUGAAUGAAGGAAAUUGUGUCCUGCGGCUUCCCGUCCCUGGGCUGGCCUCUGUUCUCCCUCCCUAUCUGAAGUAGGAGCGGACGCUUCGCCGGAAACACACAUUUUUAACGGUUUUUUGCCCCUUUUCAAGCGGAGCGGGCCCGUGUAGGCCUCGGAGGUCCUUCAGACGGUCGGCUCUAGACUGUUUCUUCCUUGAGGGUCUCCAUAAAAAGCGCUGCUUCCGUCCUCCCGCUCGCUUUCCUCUCGGAUGCUGCGAGGGGAAGGGUUUCCGAGGGUAGAAAACGGUGCGAGUGACGGGGCCGUCUUAAAGGAUGCUGAAGGACCACAGUUGCCGCGUCAGGCCCGUGCGCUCGCGGGAAUUUGCCGUGGAAAGCUUUUGUGUGAGAUUAUCCGCGGCCUCGGGGAGACCGCUCUUCCUCCAUCUCGACGUGCGGACCAUCGAGUUGUCCCUGGAGCCUCUGUGCGCCGAGCUCCGUGCUGCUGGCGUGCAUGUGUGUUGGGCGCGGGAUGCGGGAGGAGAACUGACAUGCUGCCCCUGAUGCUCGCGCGUAGAAGAGAUAGUUGGAGAGACUCAGCCACCGCAUUAAACACAGAGCCGGUGUAGGCCCUUCUCUGGUGCAGGAAAGAGAGAGGAGUGUGGUCUCAAAGAGGAGGGACGACCUGGAGGCUGUGACUCCUGGUUUGAUCUGGAAAAGAUAACCGAUCUUUCCGGCGAAAGCACAAGCAACUUUUUGGAAAUGGAUGGUAACGGUGAAAGAGCAUUGCAGAGAAGAAACACCGUGGGACAAAGGCUCGAGAGGGAGUGGGUGUUACACUGGGAGUUCACUGAAGACAGCACUCUAACUGAAACGGGGGCGGGGGACGGGGGAAAGACAGACCACAGGACCGGAAAGUCAGGUUUGAUAAAUAGGAUGGGGAUUUUAAAAAAAUUUUUAGUAGUGGUAAAAUACACAUAACAUAAAAUUUACCAUCUUAACCACUUUUAAGUGUACCCUUCAGUAGAGUUAAGUACGUUUACAUUGCUGUGCAACCAUCUCAGGAACUCUUUUCCUCUUACAAAAGUGGAAUUCUAUAGCCAUUAAACAACUUCUCCUAACCCCCUUCUGCCAGCUCUUGGCAACCGUUCUACUUUUUGUCAGUUUGACUAUGCAGGUGCUUCAUAUGGGUGGAAUCAUAUAGUAAUUGUCUUUGUGCAACUGGCGUAUUUCAUUUAGCGUAAUGUCUUCAGUGUUUCUCCGUGUUGUAGCAUGUGUCAGAAUUUCCUUCCUUUUUAAGGCUGAAUAAUAUUCCAUUGUGUGUACAUACCACGAUGGACACUUAGGUGACUUCUACCUUUUGGCUAUUGUGAGUAAUGCUGCUAUGAACAUGGGUGGUCAAAUAUCUCUUUGAAACUCUGCUUUCCAUACGUUGCGGAAGCUUUUGAAACCAAGUAGAGAAAUCCAUACUGUUUCAGAUCCUCAACUGGGGGUAGUAAAAUGGUGGAAGGACUGCAGUUGGGACUAGAAGGUCAAUACAUGCUCCAUUUAUAGAAAGCACUUAUGGAGGCUGUAAGAUAUGCCAGGCCUUGUACUACUGCUUUGUGUAAAUUAACGAUAUGUCACUGAGUCCAAAAUAAACGUGAGCCAAUUGUUACCACAUGUUACUGUGAGAAAAUCAAGCUUCUGGGUUACAGAUGGGCUGAGGGGACGCUAACCAACCACACAUACACAGAAGUGGUUAGGAAACAACUCCCAUGGGAGCUGGGCAUCCGUGGCCCUGACUGUUUGCUGGUUUGUUCAAGGAUAUUGAAAGAAAACAGUUCACACGUAAAAGAAUAGGCUGACAUCAAGAGCUUUCACUGUCACAUCACUGGUAUGCCUAGGGGCUUAACAGCAAAACUGCGUUCCGAGGUCCCUAACAGAACCCUGCGGUUUGAAUUCAGGUCUGUUCGUUGCCUUUAAAAAGUAUAAAGUGCUGGGUAAGUACGUCCUUGUGUGUGAUACGGACGUUAGUGAGGCACAUCGUUCCCGACUCAGCUCUUCCUCUUUCACUUUACGUUCUCAGAAGUCCCGGGACAUCGUUCAAAGCAACGAUCUCCACUUGGCAGAUGAGGAGAUUGAGGGCCAGAAAGGAAAAUGAUUUGCCAGCCAUGGCUGAUUGGUACCAAGGCUGCAGCUGAAACCUGAACCUCCAGACUUCCCACUCUGUGCUUUGGGCUCCCUUACGAAGAUAGACGCCACAGUCUGAGCAUGUGAAGAAUACAGCAUCCCUCGAGUCCAGAGAUUUGAGAUCACCAGUGUUUAUCCAGCCAGCAUGAUGGCGAUGAGAGAAGAGAGAAACUUCAGAGCCAAGGAAGAUUUGUGCUAUGGAUAAACAGGAUGGCUCCAGUGAAUAUUUCUUAACUGCUCUGUGGUAUUGCACCGUAGGAAUGUUUUAGCAUUUACCUAAUCUCCUAUUGAUGGCCAUCUGAAUCUUCUAGCCUGUGAACCAACAGAAUAGUGGUGGUGCAGCACCACUUAAGACCGUGCUAAAAAUGCACUUGACGCAGCUGCAGUGAGAACACAGCCAGCGUCGCAGAACGUCCCCUAACAGCCUCCUGUCUGGUGCUCAGCUGUAAACUUCCCAUUGGUUGGCUGUUCCCACCUGGGACGACCACUUGACUUGUUCUUGACUUUCAUGAAGGAACCACUGUCUCACCCUGAAGCAUCUACUCAAACGCAAAAGGAGGUAUUAGCCAGGGCUCAAACGCUGCUGUGUCUUGUCAGCGUUAACUACAGUGCGUCUGUUUCCAGCACCGUGGCAGCAACUAGGACAAGGCUUUCUUGCUGAACCUGUAUAGUGACACAGUCCACACAGCUUCACUUGCUGUCAUUGCCUUUGUUAGGGACAGUUUCAAAGGCAGCAUUCCAAAUCAGAGAUCCUAAGCCAGAGGACGAAACGCACACACGGAGUACUGGAACCAUGAUCUCAGGCACAUGGAUAUAAGAGCCAGGUCAUUGAGACGCCACCAGCGGAGAGGUAGGAAUGCUCCUUAAUGGUGGAGGAACCUUUCCCAGGUGACACACCCCUUCCUCUCUCUGAGUCCCAACUUUUGUAGUGAUAACGCUGUCGCACAAAUACAGGAAGCCAUGACAGGUGUACCCUGUAAUUUGGGUAAAUUGUCUAAGUAUCCUUCUCAAGUGUCUGAGAGGCGUUAUGACCAAAUACGCCUUAGAUUACAACACAGGAGAGCAGAGAGAUUUUCCUUGAUGGAUCAGUUGAGAGAAAGAGUGUUAGUAGUCAUUUCCUGUGUCGUGGCACAAUCAGCGAUAUUUUAACUGGCUUCACAGAAAACUUAUCAUCCUGGAUGGCGUAAUUUUUACUGAUGAGGUUGUUAAUUGUGAGCUCGUCAGAAGCAAAAUUUAAUUUCCACGGAUGAAUCUUAUCAUAACUGGAGCUGGUGGGAUUUUUAGCAGAAAACUUCAAUAGAAGGGACCUCCUGGUAUCCAGGGAAGGGGCACAAACUCAGUUAGUUAUAUAUCCUAAGGCUCCUCCAGCCUUACUGAGUCCAACAGAUGUGUUAUCUAUACAAAGUCUAUCCCAGAAUUAGGAGAAUUGGGAUGGUCAUUUAAAAAACAAAAUGUUUUGUAAUUUAAAGUAGUUAACAAAAGAAAAUGUAAAUCAGUAGGCCUAUUUAUAGGUACUGAACUUGAUCCAAAGAGCUUGGGUUCAGCAGUCACUUCCACGCCGACCUCUGCUCUGGAGGAGGAAUGUGCUGGCAGUCCUGACUCAGCUGUUUGAUGCAGCCUGACAACCAUGUCUGCGCUGAUGUUUGUCCUGCCACGGUUCAACUUAUCAUUUCAUUCCCUAUAGGGUCCAUAAUCAAGAUUCCCUGGUGUGUCCUUUCAGACUUUAUGAUAUUUCUUCCAGGAAACUCAACCUCUGAUCUGGCGCUUCUAGAAAGGACCUGUAGGCAAAUGUAAGCAGAAAAAUUACAAACCAGCCUGUGGUUGAUAUGACUAAAUGGCUCUGGUUAAUUUUUAUAAUCAGCAUACAGAAUGGAGGGAAGUAGAAUCCUCUAUUAAGAUAUAAUACUUACGAUUUAUUCACUGUAUAAGGGUCUGGGAGCAUGGUUUUUCUGAACCUGAAAAGUAUAUAACCACUGAAACACACUUAUAUAAAUAACAAGUUACUUAUAUGUAAUUCAACUAGAAAGACUGAAGUUUUCUUUUGACAUUUUCAGGUUUUAAUAUUUUGGUUUGGUAAACAAAAUCACUCUCGUAUGAGUUUUCAGUUUUUUAAACCUGUGCUAUCUAAUAUAAUAGCCGCUAGCCACAUGUAGCUAUUUAAAAUUAAAUUAUUUAAAAUCAGAUAAAAUUAAAAAUUCAGUUCCUCAGACAUACUAGUCACAUUUCAAGUGCUCAACAACUACACGUGGCUGAUAGUUAUAGUAUUGGACAGUGCAGAUCUGGGACAUUUCCACUGUCUCAGAAAGCUCUAUUGGACAGUGCUAAUCUAGAGAAUGCCAUAUGAAUCUGGUUGUAUUCAUUGCCUCUCCUUUGUAAGAUGAAGAACCAAAUCUUGUGUUUCACCAUGGCUGCCCAGGAAACCCCAAAGAUAUUUUAGCUGUAAAAGACAUCUUAACAGUUUCAUGAUUGCAAAUUUGGGAAAGAGCAAUAUUAAAAAGAGUCAUCAGGAUAGAUUGGUCACAAAAACAAGAUGUUGUUGUCUUGGAACAGUUGCUGUCUUGGCUGUGUCAUUAAACAGAGUAACAAUAAAAUAUUUAAAAUAAAGAGAAGUUAAAAUAAUAAUCAUUAAAUUUAUUAGUUAUUCUUUUUUUUGGAUGAGGA